rnacentral:rRNA from 1 species
AGAGUUUGAUCCUGGCUCAGGAUGAACGCUAGCGGCAGGCCUAACACAUGCAAGUCGAGGGAGAAGCCCUUCGGGGCAGAAACCGGCGCACGGGUGCGUAACGCGUAUGCAACCUACCUUUCACAGGGGGAUAGCCCGAAGAAAUUUGGAUUAAUACCCCAUAAUAUUGUUGGAUGGCAUCAUUUGGCAAUUAAAACUGAGGUGGUGAAAGAUGGGCAUGCGUCCUAUUAGCUAGUUGGAGUGGUAACGGCACCCCAAGGCUACGAUAGGUAGGGGUCCUGAGAGGGAGAUCCCCCACACUGGUACUGAGACAGGGACCAGACUCCUACGGGAGGCAGCAGUGAGGAAUAUUGGUCAAUGGUCGGAAGACUGAACCAGCCAUGCCGCGUGCAGGAAGAAUGCCUUAUGGGUUGUAAACUGCUUUUAUAUGGGAAGAAUAAGGCGUACGUGUACGUUGAUGACGGUACCAUAUGAAUAAGCAUCGGCUAACUCCGUG